rnacentral:misc_RNA from 1 species
GGUUCUCCUUUCCAACUUUUUUAUUGCUAUUUUUGUAGAAUUAUUUGAUUACUUGGUGAACAUGUCGUUCUUGGCUUGUUUGGUUGCCCAGAAAAUGCCAGGACCAGAGACAAAUAUAAAAGAUGAAAACAGAAAAAAUUAAGGAUGACAACUAUCACCUUCUUAAUUCUCUUUCUUCUGCUUAAUAACUUGGAAAAUUUAGCAUGCAUGAGAGUUUUGAAUUGCUGAGAUUUUGCUUCCUUGGUUUUCUCUGUUGCACUUGCAUUCACCUAAUCUGGGUUGAAUUUUCCCUUGAUUGCGUUGUGCAGUUAUGUUCUGAUUCUUAAUACUCAAAUCAUUUUCUUUUGAUUUUGCUUGCUUGGUUUUCUCUGUUCUCAACCUAAUGUAAUUCAAUGCUCAUCAUAUGUUCUUCUAUUAUACCAUUCUUAUGUUAUUUUCUCAUUUAAAUAUUUCUUUGCACUGUCAUUGAUGUUCUUCAUUUCACAAUGAAAUAUACAUAUAAACCAAAAGUCUCUUCUCUUAAGUCAGGAAUGAAGCAAAAUAUAAUUAAAUUUGGAAAAUUACUUUCCAUAGCAUAUGAAACUGACCUUCAAUUCUUUUCCCUUCUCAGUCCUGUUUUAUUCUUCUCAAACUCUCAAUUUUUGUUUUAUUUUCUUAUCUUGUGC